rnacentral:rRNA from 1 species
GAUGAACGCUGGCGGCGUGCUUAACACAUGCAAGUCGAACGAAGCGCUUUUACAGAUUUCUUCGGAAUGAAGUUUUAGUGGCUGAGUGGCGGACGGGUGAGUAACGCGUGGGUAACCUGCCUCACACAGGGGGAUAACAGUUGGAAACGGCUGCUAAUACCGCAUAAGCGCACAGUACCGCAUGGUCUGGUGAGGAAAUGGAUUCCGCUUCGGGAGGGCCUCGGGGCCUAUCAGCUUGUUGGUGGGGUAACGGCCUACCAAGGCGUCGACGGGUAGCUGGUCUGAGAGGACGAUCAGCCACACUGGGACUGAGACACGGCCCAGACUCCUACGGGAGGCAGCAGUAGGGAAUCUUGCGCAAUGGGCGAAAGCCUGACGCAGCAACGCCGCGUGCGGGAUGAAGGCCUUCGGGUUGUAAACCGCUUUCAGCAGGGACGAAAUUGACGGUACCUGCAGAAGAAGCCCCGGCCAACUACGUGCCAGCCGCCGCGGUAACAC